GAUGAACGCUGGCGGCGUGCCUAAUACAUGCAAGUCGAGCGCAGCGGGGACGGGUGAGUAACACGUGGAUAAACUCCUAUAAGACUGGCAUAACUUAGGGAAACCGGAGCUAAACCGGGUGCUUAUAGUUGGAUCCGCGCGGCAUUAGCUAUUUGGUAAGGUAACGGCGUACAAAGGCAACGAUGCAUAGCCGACCUGAGAGGGUGAUCGGCCACAUUGGAACGGAGACACGGUCCAGACUCCUACGUGAGGCAGCAGUCGGGAAUUUUCCGCAAUGGGCGAAAGCCUGACGGAGCAACGCCGAGUGCGUGAUGAAGGUCCUCGGAUCGUAAAACUCUGUUCUUAGGGAAGCGGUACCUAAUCAGAAAGCCACGGCUAACUACGUCCCAGCAGCCGCGGUAAUUC
rnacentral:rRNA from 1 species